CUGGGAUGAUGCAAUUUAGCCAAAUCAGACAUUGAUGUGCUCCAGAAGGCACUGCCUUCUGUCGAAGUGUUUUUCUCUGUUGAUAUCAUCGAGAUUGGUUGCUUUCUGACCAGA
rfam:Punica granatum cultivar Dabenzi scaffold397, whole genome shotgun sequence.